rnacentral:lncRNA from 1 species
GUGGGGUGGGAAAACGGAGUGCGGGGCAACGUCGGAGGCCUUUAUAGGAUUCCAAACCACGUGGAAGGAAGGUCUCCGUGGAAGUCGGGAUUGCUCGGUGGUUUUCCACCGAGUCCCGCUCGGUGACGGCGUGAGGAAGAAAGGAAAGGGGAGGAAGAGGCGCUGACUCGUGGGUCCCGCAUGGCAGCGACAAGGAGGAAGGGGCCCGGCUAUCAGCGAAAAGGGAGAAGGAGAGGGGGAGGCUCUGGCCGCGCAGUUGGGCCGCAGGGAAUGGGCCGGGGCGUGGGGAAAAGCCAGCGGCUGCGGGAAGAGGACUGGGCUGGGCUGGGGGUUUUCCUUUUUUUUUCUUUUUUUUAUCCUCUUUUCUAUUUUCCUAAAGUCUUUUCCAAAAGGAGUUUUAAAGCAAAACAGAUAAAAUAAAAACAAAACACCAGCACCAAAAAUACCA